UAGGUACUCCCUCCGUCCGGAAAUACUUGUCAUCAAAAUGGAUAAAAGGAGAUGUAUCUAGAUGUAUUUUAGUUCUAGAUACAUCCCUUUUUGUCCAUUUUGAUGACAAGUAUUUUCGGACGGAGGGAGUACCAG
rnacentral:pre_miRNA from 1 species